UCCAUCGUGGUGUAGUGGCUAACAUUGCUGUCUUUCAUCCAGAUCAUAUAACACAGCAGCCCGGGGUUCGAUUCCCCGCGAUGGAA